CCUACGGGUGGCAGCAGUGGGGAAUCUUGCACAAUGGGGGAAAGCCUGAUGCAGCGAUGCCGCGUGAAGGAAGAAGGAUUUCGGAAUGUAAAGUUCUAUCCGCAGGGAAGAAAAUGACGAUACCUGACUAAGAAGCCCCGGCUAACUACGUGCCAGCAGCGGCGGGAAUACGUAGGGGGCAAGCGUUAUCCGGAUUUACUGGGUGUAAAGGGAGCGUAGGCGGUUCAGCAAGUCAGAAGUGAAAGGCCGGGGUACAACUCCGGGAAGGCCUAUGAAACUGGUGAACUAGAUGGCAGGAGAGGGAAGCGGAAUGUCUGGUGUAGCGGGGAAAUGCGUAGAUAUUAGGAGGAACACCAGUGGCGAAGGCGGCUUACUGGGCUGUAAAUGACGCUGAGGCUCGAAAGCGUGGGGAGCAAACAGGAUUAGAUACCCGGGUAGUC
rnacentral:rRNA from 1 species